CAAACCCCACCUGUGUACCUUACCUGUUGCUUCCGUGCUGCGCAUGCUGCAAACGUGUGCCUUGCGGUCCGGAGUACCUAUUGCUCCUAUGGCCCGUGGGAGCCGGCACGGGAGGUAACCCACAAACUCUUGCCCUUGAAUGCCUUCCGUCUGAACUGUAAGUACAUGAAAAGUUAAAACUUUCAACAACGGAUCUCUUGGUUCUCGCAUCGAUGAAGAACGCAGCGAAAUGCGAUAAGUAGUGUGAAUUGCAGAAUUCCGUGAAUCAUCGAAUCUUUGAACGCACAUUGCGCCUCCUGGUNAUCCGUGAGGCAUGCCUGUUCGAGCGUCACUAAAAUCAAAUCAACCACCACCCAUGUGCUUGGUCAUGGAGGAAGAGUCCGUCUUGUUGCGGUCUCCCCUCCCAAAAUCAACGGCGGAAAGUCGCUGGAACUCGGCGUAGGAGUAUUAUUCGCCGAUUACCCAGUGUCGUUCCUGCCACCAAAUGCCCACGAUUCUCUUGAUUGACCUCGGAUCAGGUAGGGAUACCCGCUGAACUUAAGCAUAUCAAUAA
rnacentral:rRNA from 1 species